UACUCAGAAUACACAUUGUGGCCUCAUGUAAUUUUUCAGUCAGUGUCAGCUUAGCAAGCUCUCACAGUCUACUAAAUCCUAGGCAGUGGACUGCAAAGACUCUCAGCUGGGAAGAGCAC